GUGGGCCAUAAGGUGAGAGUGUUGGGAACCCAUGUCAAAUAGCUUUUAAAAUUAGUUAAGACUUAUUUUUAUAACUCAUGGGGUAUUAGUAUAACUACAUAUUAUAUUCUAGGACUUAAGGAAGUGCCUAUGGUAGUUGAGGGGGUGUAGUGUAAUAAUUACACAUAAAUCUCUAAAAUGGGAUCAGAGAGCCGAUUCCUCAUUUCUUCUUCUUCUUUUUUUCUUUUCCUGCGUCUCCUCUCCCUGAAUUCUUUCUCUCUCUCAAACCCUAGACUUCAAUCCCAAAAUCGGAAGUCAAGAUUCGAGAAUCUCGCAACAAGGCAAGAAGAAAACGUGAUCUAUGGACAAAGGGCUACGCAUCUAUCCGAACGAAAUCUCAAUCAGCCAACUUUGGUGUUCCUAGCAUUUUGGGAUUUCAACAUUUUGGAGGUUUCUCUCUCGUUUGAGGUUUGGAGGUGGAUUCGAGGCUUAAGAAUCAUGGGUCUUUUAUUUAAGAGCGUAAUGGAAUACUUGUAUAUUUUUGGCCCGUAAGACUUGCAAACUUUUAUUUUGAGUUGUAAGAACUUGAAUUGCGAGAUAUAUUAAUUUGGUAAUGUAAAUUUGGAUAUUAGAAGAAU